rnacentral:rRNA from 1 species
GAUGAACGCUGGCGGCGUGCCUAAUACAUGCAAGUCGAGCGAACGGACGAGAAGCUUGCUGCUCUGAUGUUAGCGGCGGACGGGUGAGUAACACGUGGUUACCCUACCUAUAAGACUGGGAUAAAUGCGGGAAACCUGAGCUAAUACCGGGUAAUAUGUUGAACCACAUGGUUCAAAAGUUAAAUACGGUCUUGCUGUCACUUAUAGAUGGAUCCGCGCUGCAUUAGCUAGUUGGUAAGGUAACGGCUUACCAAGGCAACGAUGCUUAGCCGACCUGAGAGGGUGAUCGGCCACACUGGAUCUGAGACACGGUCCCGACUCCUACGGGAGGCAGCAGUAGGGAAUCUUCCGCAAUGGGCGAAAGCCUGACGGAGCAACGCCGCGUGAGUGAUGAAGGUCUUCGGAUCGUAAAACUCUGUUAUUAGGGAAGAACAUAUGUGUAAGUAACUGUGCACAUCUUGACGGUACCUAAUCAGAAAGCCACGGCUAACUACGUG